rnacentral:rRNA from 1 species
CGUCGAUACGAGUUUGAUCCUGGCUCAGAACGAACGCUGGCGGCAGGCCUAACACAUGCAAGUCGAGCGGGACCUUCGGGUCUAGCGGCGGACGGGUUAGUAACGCGUGGGAACGUGCCCAAAGGUACGGAUAGCCUCGGGAAACUGAGAGUAAUACCGUAUGUGCCCCUCGGGGGAAAGAUUUAUCGCCUUUGGAUCGGCCCGCGUUGGAUUAGGUAGUUGGUGGGGUAAUGGCCUACCAAGCCGACGAUCCAUAGCUGGUUUGAGAGGAUGAUCAGCAACACUGGGACUGAGACACGGCCCAGACUCCUACGGGAGGCAGCAGUGGGGAAUCUUAGACAAUGGGGGAAACCCUGAUCUAGCCAUGCCGCGUGAGCGAUGAAGGCCUUAGGGUUGUAAAGCUCUUUCAGAUGGGAAGAUAAUGACGGUACCAUCAGAAGAAGCCCCCGGCUAACUCCGUG